AGAAAUAAUCACGCGCUUCUAUUAUUAUCGUUAUUUAUAAAACAAAGUGAAACAAUUAAUCUCAAACACGAACGUGGAAUUCUUUUUCUCCGUUAGUUUUUUCUUUCUUACCGCUCGAAAGAAAUUUAUUUCUUCGAAAGAUGACUGGAAACAGAUAUAGAAUAUAUUUCAUGUGUAAUGCAUGUUGAACGGUAAAAAUACGAAUCGCGAAUGGGUUAAAUAUAACUUUCAUUUUUGGCAACACGAUGCUCCAUGUUAAACUCCGAUCAUAGUCGCCGUUAUUCAAAUGCUUUAUGCGAAAGCAUUACUACAUUCUACUAUCUACAUUUUAGACAUUCUACAAGUUAGAAUGAAUUAAAAAUUAUUUUAACAGACUGAUUGAUCGAGCAAUAUAUUACUAUCAAAAUUCCAAAUAUCUAAUCUAAUUUGUUAAUUUUUCUUGAUCUGAAUUUUUAAUUUUAGUCGAAUUCAAAUUAUUUUUAAAUAUUUCAAAAAACGAAGAAAAAUAAGACAAAGAAAUAUACGAAAUAAUAAUAUACCAGUAUAAUUGUUAUCGAUUAUCAGACUAGAUCGAUAAGAUUAAUUUUAAUCAAUAAAAUCGAACUAUUGAUUUGAAAAUUUCAAGUGAUUUAUAUAAGAUUUAAUUAUUAAAUAAAAAUUAAUUCUAUUGUAUCACAUGAUAACAUAGAUUUUUUACAAAAUCCUAUCAACGUUAAAAUUUUUCAUCGAGAAUAUCUAUUUUUAUCCUACAAACGAAUGUCGCAAAAAAUUUCCAAUAAUCGGUUUUCGUCAGAUACAGAUAAAAGGUUAUCCGUUGAGCGGGAAAUUUGAACGAAAGUGUACGCGACCUAAUUCCCCACUUAUUAUUUCGCGGUGAUCGCGACGACAAUGGUUUUCGUCCAGCCUAAAAUAGGUAUAAUCCGGUGCAAUGCUCGGUAGCCAUCGAAUCAGAAUCGAAAUCGACAAUCAACGUGUUCCCUGAUGCGUGACCAUUGACUCGUGCCCGACAUCGAGCGCCGUCGGCUCUCCAACGAUUGUGCAGAAAAGAACAGAGCUAAAGAUAGCAAUAUUUGAGAGUAACUUCUUUGCCUCGCCCCGGUAGCAAUUCUUCCAUCCGUUAUUAUCCAUCGUUCAAUCGAUUUUUAAAAUACGAUCUCAUAUAUAUUUUUAUAUAAACAGGAUUCUGCAAAACGCACGGUGAUGUGUUUCGAUGAUGAUGACAUGCUGGAAAUAAUUUGUCCUCAAGAAUUUUAUACGGCAUAUAUUUCCAACUUGGAUGUAUUUAUUAUGUGACAUUUCUAUGUUAAUAAUAUAUUGUAAUAUAGGAUUGAUUGAUAUAAUAGAGGAACGAGACUAACUAUGAGGUCUUGGCGAGUAAUGAUCGGAAAAUAAUUCCGCUCCGCUAUUAUAUUUCUCUCGUUGAACUGAGCAACAUUAUAGCACCGACUAUUCGAGAUAUCCGGUCAAAAUACGGGAAAUUAUUUGUAUAAUAACAUGCAGAAUGAAUCGGUAUUGAAAAAUAUGGUAAGGAUUGAUUCUACGUGAAAAAAUAAAUCAUAAUAAAGAUAGAAUAAAAUUUUUUUCAUUUGAAAUUUUAUUUUGUAAAUCAAGUUCGAAAAAUUUUCAAAUGUAAAUGAAAAUAUGAAUAAAUUGUCGAUAAAAGUACACGUGAAAAUAAGAAAAAAAAAUAUAAAAUAAAUUUUUUUUAUUUAGAAAUUAAUCUUUGAAACAAUUGAAUUUGGAAAUUUACCGAUUGC